rnacentral:rRNA from 1 species
UACGUAGGGGGCGAGCGUUGUCCGGAAUCAUUGGGCGUAAAGAGCGUGUAGGUGGACUGGAAGGUCUGGUGUGAAAGCCCCGGGCUCAACCUGGGAACCGCGCUUGAGACUGGCAUGCUCGAGUUCGGGAGAGGAUGGUGGAAUUCCCAGUGUAGAGGUGAAAUUCGUAGAUAUUGGGAAGAACACCGAUGGCGAAGGCAGCCAUCUGGACCGACACUGACGCUGAGGCGCGAAAGCGUGGGGAGCAAACAGG